AGAGGAGAAGCUUAGCCAUUUUCUGUUCAUUUCUACUGCAGUUUAGCCACAAUCUGGAGUCAAACACUCUUAUCAAAGACCUUUCUUCCAACACAGUGGCCUGAUUAUAGAGCUCAUAGGCUGUCACCAUCAGUCUGGGGUAGAAGUGUGACAGCCUACUGCUGUGGGAGGCCAGCCAAGCUGAAGAGAAAGACUGCCUAUGGGGAAGACAUUAUUAAUGGAUGCAUGAUCUGCCCUUACUUUUCUUUCUCUCCCUUGCUCAGCAUUUAUACAUCCUUACUGACUCUGCCUUUGGAGUACUGGUGCUUUUUUGCAUCACAGAAAUUAAAGAUUUGGCAAGUUGAAGUCCCAUCCUCCAGCCCAGAAGUUGUGUAUCUUGAACUGUAAUCUUGGAUUUUUACUACUCAGCUUUCCUAUAGAGCAGCAAUAUUUUAUUUUGUCAAACAAAUUGAUGGAAUGUGGCUGAAAUUUUCUAGAAGACAUGCUUGCUUGGCCUUAGGCUGAUUAGGACUUCAAUGAUUUUAGAAGGUUUAGAGUGUUACAAAUCCAGAGCUAAAUAUCCUGGCCCAAUCACUAGCUCCUAUAGCUGUUUACUACCCUCCUCUACUUGGAUUGUACAAAGAAAACACUAACUUCCACUAACCAAGGGGCUAAGAGAGCAGUCAGGUAACACCUGGGGCCCAUAGCCCAGAUACUCCUGCUAUUAUAGACUGGGUAUUUAGCGUUUCUGCUAAUAUAAUUUAAAGGUGCUUUGAUUUAUGUUUCUCUUUACUGUUACUUUGAAGUAUCAUCGAACUGUUGCCAUGUUAGAACAUGGUAUUUGGGAAAAGCCAGUCACCCUAAUUUAGCUUCAGAAUGCACUAGUUUUAUUAUAUUGAGGUGAGAGUUGUGUUUUGUAUUGAUGGGAUGGCUGUAAAUACAUUUAAAAAACAAUGUUGAAAACAUGAAUGCAUGCACCAACACAGCAAGAUCUUAAAUUAACUGUAGCAGAUAAGGAAAUAUAAAUUUGAUUGCCUCUAUCUAAAAUGAUAGUUGAAGUCUAGUAGCAGAGGCAUAAUACAUAAACUAAGAAUGCUGUAAGACUUCAUCUAGAACACUGGACACUUCUUUAUGGAAGAAGGCUACCUAUGCUUGUUUGAGUGAUGUGAAAAUUGUGGACUUGAUGGAUGAGUCUCCAAGUGGUGAAGACAUCAGGCAAGAAGGCAGGCAAAGAAGAUCUGAGAGAGCCUCCUGGAAGAAAAUGGAACAUGCCCUGCAUAUGAAUAACCAUUCAGCCUCAACCCUCUGCUCAUCUCUCCUUUACCCCAUUUGAAAUACACAUUCUUAUCAGAAACCCAACUGGAAUUCUACUUGUCCAAUCCUGCUCUUUGUGAGGUUUAUCUCAUAUGACAUUUAUUGUGUUUGUAUUGUUGCUUGUUUAAAUCAUAGUUUCUAUCACAAUAGGCUCUGUGGUGCUUUGAAUAGGAACCCUCCUAGGUUUUGGGUGGUACUACUUCACAGGGAUUAGAAGGUAUGACUUUAUCAAAGGAAGUCAGGUCAAUUGUCUCUCUUUCUUUUUGCAACCUGCCAAUUCAGAAGUAGAGCUCUUUGCCACCUCUCCAGCACUAGGUCAGCCUGUGUACCACCAUGCGUCCCUCUAUGAUGAUAAUGGACUGAACCUCCAAAUGUAAGUAAGCCCGAAUUUAAUGCUUUCCUUUCUAAGUAUUGCUGUGGUCACGGUGCCUCCUCACAGCAAUAGAACGUUAGCAAAGACAGACCCCUUGUAAGCUAAGUUCUAAAUGUAUAUUUUUGCCUGUCAUUAUCAGCUAACUAAUUUAGGAAAGUGGAUUAAAAAAAAUCCAUAGAAGUCCUACAUUUCAUUUUUAAUUUUCAAUAAAUUUUAAAUAACGUUUCCAAAUUUAAAAAAAAAAUCACACACUGAAAUUAACCAGAAUUCGAACAUCUUUACACCUCAAUGAACUUCUAUCCCAUUAGAACUGGUCUUUUGACUGGGAGCUGUGAAGCUUCACAUUGGAGUUUAUAUCUUCUCAUCCAAUAUAUUUUUAUGCACUUAUCUAUCAUCAACCUCAAAAUAAUCCACAACAGAGUUAGGACUAGAAGAGCAAUUAGCUUUAUAUCUUCUUUCAUAACCCAUGUACAUUAUCUGAAUUCAGUCCUUCAUUGUGGCCUAAUAUUCAGCCUAUCUUGUUUGUCUAUAUGUUAUGCUGUAUGCACAUUUAUAUUUGUUUGCAUAGAAAUAUACAUUAUUGGCUAUUCUACAGAUGAGAAAUAACAUGCAUUUUUCUUUCUGAGAUUAUAUAACUGCACAUCAUCAUCAUCAUCAUUAUAGUCCCACUUUUAAUUUCCGGACAGAAAUAUAUUUUAAAUGGAAUUCCUUAAAAGUCCUAUAUGUCCUCUUCACAGUAUGUCCUUGCAGAUGCUGGGAUAUUUUGGAGAUGGGAGACUUUUCUCUCUAGGAAUCUGUUUUCUGGAUCAUGAGACUGAAGGUCAAUGAACUUGCUGCUUUCUUGCCUCAGCUUAGACUCUCACAAGGACAUUUGGCCUUGAAAACUCAGAAGAGAUGUAAGACUUUGCACGUCACAUUAGGCCAGGGAGAUUCCCCUCUCAGAGAGACUCCUGGGUGUGGAUGAGUCUUGCAUAGGCCUUAAAUUUCAGGACUGAAAUGGCCCUUCUGACUAAUUGGAGACUGCUUCUGGAGUUUGAAGCUAGGAACAAAACUCAGAGUAGAUGUGGGGAUCUGACUCAUACCCUGCUAUUCUGGUUAAUUACUGCAACUAUGCUUGAGGCAAAGUGACUAGUGCUAAGUAAUAAAAAUAGAUAAGGCCACAAAGGAUAGUGGGUAAUUGUUUUCAAAACUGAAGGCACUUUAGAAAGAUAAAACUAAGAACAAAAGGAAACAACAUGGAAAGGAAAAAUACCUGUAAAAUCUGUUAUUCUUAACUGCUAUAGCCAGAAAGCAAUAAAAUAUUAUCUUUUUUAUUCUUGUAAUUCAGACUUGUAUUGAGUUUCUGUUUCAAUUGAAGGCUCAUUAUUAAAUUUCUGUUUGAAGGUUUUUAAUUGUUACUAAAGACUAAGAUUUUUAAACGAAACAGGCCAAUCUUAAAGAGUAGAUUAAUAGGGAUACAAAUGCAGACCUUUGAAUUCUUUCCCACAGACUAGUAGCUAGCAUAAUGACUGCAGUCAGUGGCCAACUGUUCAUCCUUCCAAGCACAGGAGCAGCUAUGGGAUGGAGAGCAGUGUUCAGGCUUGGAGCCGUGGUUAAUGUACUUUUAGUCAAUGGAGAUAAACAGCAGGUUGAAUUGUUUCUUUUCCACCAGCAUUUGAAACUUCUGACUUUGUGUCUGUUGUUCAUUUUUACCCUCAGUAUUGUUCUCUACUCCUUUCUUUUAUUUCUUCCUUUUUCCUUUCCAUUUUCCGGGUCUGCCUUCUUACUUUUGUUGAUUGUCUUACCAUCUUUAUUGUUUACCUCAUUUCUUCUUCUCUUCUUGUUCCCCUGCCUGUAAUAUUAAAUAGCCACAAUAUUUAAGUAUAUUUGAGAAUUAAUUAUAAUUUAUUUAAUACAGUAUGUUUUCCUUGCUUUAAAAAUUUAGAGCACUUUAAUUUAAAGUGUGUAUGCUUCCCAUUUUGGCCUUUGAAUCGUAAUCAAUCUUUAUGCAGAUCACAAAACUUUAUGGGCCAUUUAUUGUACCAGUGUUCUGGUUUCCUUUCCAUUGUUAUAAUAAAGCACACUCUGACCCCAAAUCAGACCUAUCUUAUACAAACAAUCCUUUAGGAGAAUCUCACAUGAACAGAUUCCUUUUUGAAUAGGGUCAAGGUGACUAUCAAAGAUACUCAGGUAUCUUUCCUUUGCAGUAACGCUAGAAAGAAUCAAUACUUUAUAAGCCUAUGCCUUGAAUUCAGGAGACCCCUGGGGGAUGUAAACCAGCACAAUGCAAUGGCAUCAUGAAACAAAUAUGAAUUCUGGCCAUAUAUGAUAUGAGUGAAGAAUUAGGUAGGCUUUGGGGUGUUGAGCAAUGUUUUCAAAAGAGAAGAUUCUUAAUGUGCAGUGAGUCUGCGAAUGCAGCCUGCAGCACUUCCAUUGCAAUAGGAAAAGAAGCAAGAAUGUGCUGGCUUUAUUUUCCUUUGACCUUAAAUAUGUAUGAAAAGAUGACAUGUUCUCAGAUCUCAAUUCCUGAGAGAAAAUGCAUGGAUUUUUGUGGGGGAGGGGGACAGGAAUGGGUGUCUAUAUGGUGUCACAUGGAGACAGAAAACACUCAAAACUUCCACUCCAAUAGAAAUUUUCAAACUGUUCCAAAGAUGUUAAUGGAUGUCAAAAAUAUAACAUUUUAUAGUGAAAUAGUUUGGGAAACAAUGGGUUUGAUAAGCACAUUAUAGCCACCACUUGGAGCUAUUCUAAUAUACUAAUAAACACUAAAAAUAUUCUGGAUGGGAUACUUUGGAAAGUC
ensembl:processed_transcript